GAAGUGGAGACAUGAAUGCCUUAGAAUUGUAUCAGCCAGCUGCCAAAAGAACAGCAUGAGCCACCUGGAAAAUAAGGAGUGAUGAAAUGACAUUUCUGAGGCAAAAUGAAAAAGGAAAGCAGAAAACAAAAAAGGAACUAGCAGCAGCAAAGAUCAACUCCAGGGUACACAUUUUUGUAUGCAGCUUUCCCUCAGGUAUUUGUUUCUGUAAGAUUUUUAUCACUGGAAAAUUGUCAGUAUAAUCCAAUUCACCAAACUGGCUGAAACCCAGAUGAUUUGUACAUGUUUCCUGGAAAAAUCAGUUUGCCUGCAAGAGCACAUUGUUACAAGCAGGAAGAGCAAUAGAGGUGUGGAACACAUUUGUUCACUGAAACAGAGGGAAAAUGCCCAGGACCAAUCAACAGAGAAGAGGAUGGUGCCAGUCUGGAACACAAGUAACUGGAGAUUGGACUUGAGAACAGAAUGGAUAAUGCAAGGCUGGGAAAUACUGCUGAGGACUUCCUGCAGUCAAGAACUUGGAUCUACUCUGGGAACUAGGAUAGGAGUGGCUUUCAGAAGAUACAGGUCCUUUUUUUNAAAUUUUAUUUAUUUGAGUAUCUAUGUCUGUAUCCUGAAAAGUCAG
rnacentral:lncRNA from 1 species